rnacentral:rRNA from 1 species
AGGUAUCGCCUGCCCAGUGACCAUGUUCAACGGCCGCGGUAUCCUAACCGUGCAAAGGUAGCGUAAUCAUUUGUCCCCUAAAUAGGGACCUGUAUGAACGGCUAACUGAGGGUCUAACUGUCUCCUAGGCCCAAUCAAUGAAACUGAUCUUUCAGUACAAAAGCUGAAAUACACACAUAAGACGAGAAGACCCUGUGGAGCUUAAAACCAAUACUAUAAAACGCCGCCCACACCUAUAUCCAGGUCUACCUAACCCUUUAAACCAAUAGUAGUAUUUUUAGUUGGGGCGACUAUGGAACAAAACGAAACUUCCAUGACAGGGACCUCCCUAUCCAGGCAGACAUGCCAACACAUUCAUCACUUGACCCAGUAUACUGAUCAACGAACCAAGUUACCCCAGGGAUAACAGCGCCAUCCUCUUCAAGAGUCCAUAUCGACAAGAGGGUUUACGACCUCGAUGUUGGAUCAGGACCCCCCGGUGGUGCAACCGCUACCAAAGGUUCGUUUGUUCAACGAUUAAUAGUCCUACGUGAUCUGAGUCA